GAAACCAACAGGGAUUACCUCAGUAACGGCGAGUGAAGCGGUAACAGCUCAAAUUUGAAAUCUGGGUCUUUCAGGCUCCGAGUUGUAAUUUGUAGAAGAUGCUUCGGGUGCGGCUCCGGUCUAAGUUCCUUGGAACAGGACGUCAUAGAGGGUGAGAAUCCCGUAUGUGAUCGGUUGCUUGCGCCCAUGUGAAGCUCUUUCGACGAGUCGAGUUGUUUGGGAAUGCAGCUCAAAAUGGGUGGUAAAUUUCAUCUAAAGCUAAAUAUUGGCCAGAGACCGAUAGCGCACAAGUAGAGUGAUCGAAAGAUGAAAAGCACUUUGGAAAGAGAGUUAAACAGUACGUGAAAUUGUUGAAAGGGAAGCGCUUGCAACCAGACUUGCGCGUUGCCGAUCAUCCGGGGUUCUCCCCGGUGCACUCGGCUUCGCUCAGGCCAGCAUCGGUUUCGGUGGUGGGAUAAAGGCCUUGGGAAUGUAGCUUCUUUCGGGGAGUGUUAUAGCCCUCGGUGCAAUGCCGCCUACCGGGACCGAGGACCGCGCUUCGGCUAGGAUGCUGGCGUAAUGGUUGUAAGCGAC
rnacentral:rRNA from 1 species